AACGCAACAAAAGCCAUCCUAUUUAGAGCCAAGAUUUGGCAGCCCAAGAAUUUGCCAGUCAGGAUGAAAAACAUCUAAUGGAAUCCAGCUUGAAAGCCAGUCAAGGGCUGCUAAGUGAGCAAGAGGCAGAAACACUCCGUCCUGCCCAGUAGAAAAAUCACAGGCAGAGCUGAAGCCACUGAGAGAACGCAUUAUAGAUUCUCAUGAAGAAAUUAGUGACUACAAUGUUUCCAUGUGCUCGAAAUGAUAUCAAGGAUCAUGAUGGCUUUGUGCGGUCCAUCAGAUACUGGUUGCUAGAA